rfam:Ilumatobacter coccineus YM16-304 DNA, complete genome.
UUGGGUGGCCAUAGCGACAGGGUCACACCCGUUCCCAUCCCGAACACGGAAGUUAAGCCUGUCAGCGCCGAUGGUACUUGGGGGUAGACCCCCUGGGAGAGUAGGACGCCGCCCGAU